UAGAACCCUGAAGUUGCGGAUCCAAA
rnacentral:piRNA from 1 species